AAAGCUAUCGCCGAAGGAGGGGUUUUGCGUCUGAUUAGCUGGUUGGAGGGGUAACGGCCCAACAAGGCGAUGAUCAGUAGCCGGUCUGAGAGGAUGAACGGCCACAUUGGGACUGAGACACGGCCCAGACUCCUACGGGAGGCAGCAGUGGGGAAUCUUCCGCAAUGGACGAAAGUCUGACGGAGCAACGCCGCGUGAGUGAAGAAGGUCUUCGGAUUGUAAAGCUCUGUUAUACGGGACGAAAAAGACGGAUGCCAACAGUAUCCGUUCCGUGACGGUACCGUAAGAGAAAGCCACGGCUAACUACGUGCCAGCAGCCGCGGUAAAU
rnacentral:rRNA from 1 species